rnacentral:rRNA from 1 species
GGAGCUUGCUCCCUGAUGUUAGCGGCGGACGGGUGAGUAACACGUGGGUAACCUGCCUGUAAGACUGGGAUAACUCCGGGAAACCGGGGCUAAUACCGGAUGCUUGUUUGAACCGCAUGGUUCAAACAUAAAAGGUGGCUUCGGCUACCACUUACAGAUGGACCCGCGGCGCAUUAGCUAGUUGGUGAGGUAAUGGCUCACCAAGGCAACGAUGCGUAGCCGACCUGAGAGGGUGAUCGGCCACACUGGGACUGAGACACGGCCCAGACUCCUACGGGAGGCAGCAGUAGGGAAUCUUCCGCAAUGGACGAAAGUCUGACGGAGCAACGCCGCGUGAGUGAUGAAGGUUUUCGGAUCGUAAAGCUCUGUUGUUAGGGAAGAACAAGUACCGUUCGAAUAGGGCGGUACCUUGACGGUACCUAACCAGAAAGCCACGGCUAACUACGUGCCAGCAGCCGCGGUAAUACGUAGGUGGCAAGCGUUGUCCGGAAUUAUUGGGCGUAAAGGGCUCGCAGGCGGUUUCUUAAGUCUGAUGUGAAAGCCCCCGGCUCAACCGGGGAGGGUCAUUGGAAACUGGGGAACUUGAGUGCAGAAGAGGAGAGUGGAAUUCCACGUGUAGCGGUGAAAUGCGUAGAGAUGUGGAGGAACACCAGUGGCGAAGGCGACUCUCUGGUCUGUAACUGACGCUGAGGAGCGAAAGCGUGGGGAGCGAACAGGAUUAGAUACCCUGGUAGUCCA